rnacentral:rRNA from 1 species
CAGGCCUAACACAUGCAAGUCGAGCGGGCAUCGCAAGAUGUCAGCGGCAGACGGGAGAGUAACACGUGGGAACAUGCCCUUCGGUUCGGAAUAACCCAGGGAAACUUGGACUAAUACCGGAUACGUCCGUAAGGAGAAAGAUUUAUCGCCGAAAGAUCGGCCCGCGUCUGAUUAGCUAGUUGGUGAGGUAAUGGCUCACCAAGGCGACGAUCAGUAGCUGGUCUGAGAGGAUGAUCAGCCACAUUGGGACUGAGACACGGCCCAAACUCCUACGGGAGGCAGCAGUGGGGAAUAUUGGACAAUGGGCGCAAGCCUGAUCCAGCCAUGCCGCGUGAGUGAUGAAGGCCCUAGGGUUGUAAAGCUCUUUUGUGCGGGAAGAUAAUGACGGUACCGCAAGAAUAAGCCCCGGCUAACUUCGUGCCAGCAGCCGCGGUAAUACA